rnacentral:tRNA from 1 species
GGCAGUGUAGCGUAAUGGGUAGGGAACUGGUCUUGCAACCGAAAGGUCGCAGGUUCGAUUCCCGGGUAGGACACUGCCG